UGUGUGUGUGUGUGUGUGUGUGUUUAUAUAUGUAGUUUUCAUGGUUUUAUUUCGUCCUUGAAUUCAGCUUAUUAUUACCGAUCUGGUCUAGUUUAAAUUAUCUAUAUGUAUGUCUAUGUAUGCUUUUAUCACACAAAUGUGGCCCAGUUGGGGAUAUCUCUUUAACUGGGGGGCUAGCUCUUCUGCUCAUCCAUGGUGGUCCCUGGCAUUGUCCCCAUUCAGGUGGCAGUCAGUCAAAUCGCCCUGGAGGGGAAGAAGGGUGAGGUCUAGGGUAUUGGGCCUUUCCUUGUGUUUAGAUUUCUAACUUCUGAAGCAUUCUUAUGCUAAUAAAUGUUGUUUAGAUUUAUAUAAAUUUAGAGUAGGAAUUAAUCUUAGAGAAGCCCAUUCUCAAUGUUAUAGGAAAUUAGAAAUAAAUAUAUGUAAGUAUAUACAAUACUGUCUGGUGCUAUUCAUUGAUGAAAAUCUGAGGACAGCAUUUUACUAUCUUAAUAGUGCAAGUAACCCAGUCACAACCUUAGCUCAAAAGUUAAAUCAAUCUUGGAAACAAAACUUCCAUUUCCUCUGCUAAUUUCUUCAGUACUUAGUCCCUCCUAUUGUUUAUUAAUACGGUAAAGCAUACUCAUCAAGGCAAAGUGCUUGGAAUGUUUCACAAACGGAAUUACUAUUUCUAAACACCAAGAACUAAGAGGAGAUUUCCUUUGCUCUGUCACGAUUAAAAAUGCAGGUUUACCUACCGGCCUUUCCCCUGGUCCAUUUCUAUGGGUAUACAAUUCAGUGAAGAUUCUCCAGUGGUGGCCGAGCGUCGGGUGCAGUCCUGAUCAUGGAAGUCCUUUGUCGACUUAUUCUAUUUGUAGUAACAGGUUCCUAUACUUCCACUCAACUUUAAAAGGUCGUAAAGAUUGUACUGUCCCCAAACAGGUCAUUCCAUGUCUGAUUAACAUGUAAUCAGAAAAAAAUGGGGCUUUUGAACAGGUGACACGUGCUGGGUUGAAAGGAGCCAGCGAGGCGGCUCAGCAGGUAAGGACUUUUGCUGCCAAGCCAGUUAACCUGAAUUCCAUGUCC
rnacentral:lncRNA from 1 species